GUAAGUACUAUUUUUACAUCUGAUGACCCACUGUGUGCCAUCCGCCUAUCUACUGGGCUGGAUGCACGUAUACAAAGACAAUAAAGCCAGAACUUCUCUCAAGGUGUUUACAACCUGCUGUUUUUCUCCUUGAGCUCUGGGAGAAGCCAGGUGCCAUGUUGUGAGGACACUGGAGCACCCCUAAGGAGGCCUGUGUUGUGGGAACUGAGGCCUCCUGCCAUCAGCCAGCACCCACUUGCCAGCCAUGUGAAUAAACCAUCUUGGAAGUGGAUCCUCCAGCCCAUUAUGUCCUCAAAUGACAGCAAAUUCAUGAACGACUGUGAGCCAGAACCACCCAGCUAAGUCACUACCAAAUUCUUGACCCACAGAGACUGAGAUAAUACAUAAUAUUUAUUAUUGUUUUAAGCUACUAGGUUUUGGGGGCAUUUUUUACCUAACAAUAGGCAACUAAUAUGGUAGAUGUGUUUUGUACAAUGCUUCGUUACUGAAAUGGCUCUAGAUUUGCAAGUCACUACUUCAGAAUUUGGUUAGUUCCUCUGAAGU
rnacentral:lncRNA from 1 species